rnacentral:SRP_RNA from 1 species
GCUGGGCACGGUGGGACCUGUAGUCCCAGCUACUCGGGAGGCUGAGGUGGGAGGAUCGCUUGAGCCCAGGAGUUUUGGGCUGUAGUGCACUGUCAAUUGGGUGCCCACACUAAGUUCGGCAUCAAUACGGUGACCUCCCAGGAGCAGGGGACCACCAGCUUGCCUAAGGAGAGGUGAACCGGCCCAGGUCGGAAAUGGAGCAGGUCAAAACUCCCGUGCUGAUCAGUAGUAGGAUCGCGCCUGUGAAUAGUCACUGCACUCCGUGUGGGCAACAUAGCGAGACCCCGUCUCUA